GGAAGUAAAAGUCGUAACAAGGUCUCCGUAGGUGAACCUGCGGAGGGAUCAUUACCGAGUGAAGGGCCUUCGGGUCCGACCUCCAACCCUUUGUGAAAUCGACCGCGUUGCCUCGGGGGCCGAGCCUGGCUCGUCCCCCGGUGGCCCACUCAACUCUGCUUCAUCAAGCGUCUGAGUAUACUCGAGAAAUCGAAACAAAACUUUCAACAACGGAUCUCUUGGUUCUGGCAUCGAUGAAGAACGCAGCGAAAUGCGAUAAGUAAUGUGAAUUGCAGAAUUCAGUGAAUCAUCGAAUCUUUGAACGCACAUUGCGCCCUUUGGUAUUCCGAAGGGCAUGCCCGUCCGAGCGUCAUUUCACCACUCGAGCCCUGCUCGGUGUUGGGCGCCGCGUCCACCGCGUGCCUUAAAGUCCUCGGCCGCGUGGUCCAUCCCCGAGCGUUGUGGCAUUACGUCUCGCUCCGGGCUGAUGGGCUGUGCCGGCCGUUAAGCCUCUCACACAGGUUGACCUCGGAUCGGGUAGGGAUACCCGCUGAACUUAAGCAUAUCAAUAAGCGGAGGA
rnacentral:rRNA from 1 species